GAUGAACGCUCGCUACAGGCUUAACACAUGCAAGUCGAGGGGCAGCAUGAUUGAAGCUUGCUUCAAUCGAUGGCGACCGGCGCACGGGUGAGUAACACGUAUCCAACCUGCCGAUAACUCGGGGAUAGCCUUUCGAGAGAAAGAUUAAUACCCGAUAGUAUAGUAUUUCCGCAUGGUUUCACUAUUAAAGAACUUCGGUUAUCGAUGGGGAUGCGUUCCAUUAGAUAGUUGGCGGGGUAACGGCCCACCAAGUCAACGAUGGAUAGGGGUUCUGAUGGGAAGGUCCCCCACAUUGGAACUGAGACACAGUCCAAACUCCUACGGGAGGCAGCAGUGAGGAAUAUUGGUCAAGGGACGAUAGUCUGAACCAGCCAAGUAGCGUGAAGGAUGACUGCCCUCUGGGUUGUAAACUUCUUUUAUACGGGAAUAAAGUGGAGUAUGCAUACUCCUUUGUAUGUACCGUAUGAAUAAGGAUCGGCUAACUCCGUG
rnacentral:rRNA from 1 species